AGUGAACGCUGGCGGUAGGCCUAACACAUGCAAGUCGAACGGCAGCACAGGAGAGCUUGCUCUCUGGGUGGCGAGUGGCGGACGGGUGAGGAAUACAUCGGAAUCUACUCUGUCGUGGGGGAUAACGUAGGGAAACUUACGCUAAUACCGCAUACGACCUACGGGUGAAAGCAGGGGACCUUCGGGCCUUGCGCGAUUGAAUGAGCCGAUGUCGGAUUAGCUAGUUGGCGGGGUAAAGGCCCACCAAGGCGACGAUCCGUAGCUGGUCUGAGAGGAUGAUCAGCAACGCUGGAACUGAGACACGGUCCAGACUCCUACGGGAGGCAGCAGUGGGGAAUAUUGGACUAUGGGCGCAAGCCUGAUCCAGCCAUACCGCGAGGGUGAAGAAGGCCUUCGGGUUGUAAAGCCCUUUUGUUGGGAAAGAAAUCCAGCUGGCUAAUACCCGGUUGGGAUGACGGUACCCAAAGAAUAAGCACCGGCUAACUUCGUGCCAGCCGCCGCCGUAA
rnacentral:rRNA from 1 species